AAUAAAUCGUUGAAAAAGAUCAGUACUAUAUAGAAUAUUUUAGAGAGAACAUGGUGGGUGAAAAUGUUUAUAGGAUAUAUAGGAAAGCUACUUUGGAGAGUAAUUAAUGAUUACCGUAGAACUGCGUUAAAGUUUAAUUAAGGGCAUGUAUUUUUACAUGAACUAGGAUGGUACCGCGAUAAAGUCGUUCCUAGA
rnacentral:ncRNA from 1 species